UACGAAGGGGGCUAGCGUUGCUCGGAAUUACUGGGCGUAAAGCGCACGUAGGCGGUUUCUUAAGUCGGUGGUGAAAUCCUGGAGCUCAACUCCAGAACUGCCUUUGAUACUGAAGAUCUUGAGUUCGGGAGAGGUGAGUGGAACUGCGAGUGUAGAGGUGAAAUUCGUAGAUAUUCGCAAGAACACCAGUGGCGAAGGCGGCUCACUGGCCCGAUACUGACGCUGAUGCACGAAAGCGUGGGGAGCAAACAGG
rnacentral:rRNA from 1 species